rnacentral:rRNA from 1 species
CUGUGAACAUACCACUUGUUGCCUCGGCGGAUCAGCCCGCUCCCGGUAAAACGGGACGGCCCGCCAGAGGACCCCUAAACUCUGUUUCUAUAUGUAACUUCUGAGUAAAACCAUAAAUAAAUCAAAACUUUCAACAACGGAUCUCUUGGUUCUGGCAUCGAUGAAGAACGCAGCAAAAUGCGAUAAGUAAUGUGAAUUGCAGAAUUCAGUGAAUCAUCGAAUCUUUGAACGCACAUUGCGCCCGCCAGUAUUCUGGCGGGCAUGCCUGUUCGAGCGUCAUUUCAACCCUCAAGCACAGCUUGGUGUUGGGACUCGCGUUAAUUCGCGUUCCUCAAAUUGAUUGGCGGUCACGUCGAGCUUCCAUAGCGUAGUAGUAAAACCCUCGUUACUGGUAAUCGUCGCGGCCACGCCGUUAAACCCCAACUUCUGAAUGUUGACCUCGGAUCAGGUAGGAAUACCCGCUGAACUUAAGCAUAUCAAUAAGCCGGAGGAAAA